ensembl:lncRNA
CAGACUUUGAAUUUAAGGAAACUAAAGACCCCUUUAUCUCUUUUUCUUCUAAGUAUUUUUUCAAAAACAAAAAAUAUCGAGCACACGUGAAUACAAAUGACAAGAGUGAGAUUGUUUUUUAUUUCUGCAAAUCUUUUGAAUGCGUGGUUUGAUACAAUACAGCCAGAUUCUUAAACCUACUUCUGCAUUGGUCUCUUGUAGUGUCACACCAUGCCACCUCUGGAAAACUCCACGGUACCCUUGUACUUUGUUUUAAGUGAACAACCAUGUCAUCCUCUGUUUUCAGCAUAACCAGGUGUGGUGGUGCAUGCCUGUAAUACCAGCCCUCUGGAAUCUGAGGCAGAGUUCCAGCCCAGCCUGGACAGUUCAGCAACCUGUAGUUGUGGAUUAACUACUGAGCAACUUGGAACACCCAGCUGAACUGAGUCAGCGUGGUUCUGGGCGUGGAAGGCCCACCUGAGGAUUGUUGCCAAUGGCAGAAAGACCUGGAGGAAAUGAUUGUAUGCUGUUGAUUUUCUUGGAGAAGCUUGCCUGCUGGUUUUCCGGAUGCAAACUUGGCUUUUUUUCAUCAUCAGAGGAGCUCAAGGCCUCGCUGUCGCUGGGAAUGGCUGCUGUUCUCAGGGAAGCUCUGAUCUUCGCCUUGAGCAUUGCUUCCUGCUCCAUGCAGAUCCCUCAGCCUGGUGCCACAAACCCUUCACCCCUCUUGGGCAGACUUUGUGGCUUCCACCACUGGCCCUUGGGCCUUCCUGGGGCAGAUCCUCAGUGCAGACCUGCAUGAGAUAUUGCU